GACGAACGCUGGCGGCGUGCUUAACACAUGCAAGUCGAACGGAAAGGCCCUGCUUUUGUGGGGUGCUCGAGUGGCGAACGGGUGAGUAACACGUGAGUAACCUGCCCUUGACUUUGGGAUAACUUCAGGAAACUGGGGCUAAUACCGGAUAGGAGCUCCUGCUGCAUGGUGGGGGUUGGAAAGUUUCGGCGGUUGGGGGUGGACUCGCGGCUUAUCAGCUUGUUGGUGGGGUAGUGGCUUACCAAGGCUUUGACGGGUAGCCGGCCUGAGAGGGUGACCGGCCACAUUGGGACUGAGAUACGGCCCAGACUCCUACGGGAGGCAGCAGUGGGGAAUAUUGCACAAUGGGCGGAAGCCUGAUGCGGCAACGCCGCGUGCGGGAUGACGGCCUUCGGGUUGUAAACCGCUUUCGCCUGUGACGAAGCGUGAGUGACGGUAAUGGGUAAAGAAGCACCGGCUAACUACGUG
rnacentral:rRNA from 1 species